UACGGAGGGCGCAAGCGUUAUCCGGAUUCACUGGGUUUAAAGGGUGCGUAGGUGGGCAGUUAAGUCAGUGGUGAAAUCUCCGGGCUCAACCCGGAAACUGCCAUUGAUACUAUCUGUCUUGAAUAUCGUGGAGGUAAGCGGAAUAUGUCAUGUAGCGGUGAAAUGCUUAGAUAUGACAUAGAACACCAAUUGCGAAGGCAGCUUACUACCCGAAUAUUGACACUGAUGCGCGAAAGCCAGGGGAGCAAACGGG
rnacentral:rRNA from 1 species